rnacentral:tRNA from 1 species
GCAGUGGUGGUUCAGUGGUAGAAUUCUCACCUUCCACGUGGGAGACCUAGGUUCGAUUUCUAGCCAGUGCG